AAAAAAUAUUGAUUUUCCGUUCGCCGGAGGAGAAUAUUAAGUGUUCCCGCGGAGCACCGCCGAAUACCGCGGCUUAUUGAACAAGUCUGCUAUUUUUUUGUGGGGGAAAAAAAAACUAUAUAUAUAUUUUUUUAUCGGUAAGUAGUUAGCGGGGUCGUAAUAACACGACCGGCGACGGCUGAGGUGGAGUAGAACGAGAAGGAGGCGUUGAGAGUAGACUGCGAGUUUGCCGCGCGAACCAUAAGGCCGCGGAGUAAAAAUGUUACGAUC